rnacentral:rRNA from 1 species
CAACAGGAUUAGAUACCCAAGCAGUCUUAGCAGACAAUUAUGAAUGCCAUAGAUAAGAAAAUAUAUUCUUUCUUAAAGAAGAGAGAAUGUGAUUUUAUCUAUAAAUGAAAGUGUAAGCAUUCCACCUCAAGAGUAAUGUGGCAACGCAGAAACUGAAAUCAUUAGACCGUUUCUGAAACCAGUAGUGAAGUAUGUUGUUUAAUAUGAUAGUCCGCACAAAACCUUACCACAAUUUGUAUAUUAUUAUCUAAAUACUGGAGUUGCACGGCUGUCUUCAGUUAAUGUCGUGAGAUUUUGGUUAAUUCCAUUAAAUUAACGUAAACCCUUACUUUAUUUAUAUUAUAAAGUAGCUCACCUCUAAAUUGGAUUUGAUAAAAGGGAAUAAGACAAGUCAUCAUGACCUGAAUAUUGUGGGCUAUA